rnacentral:rRNA from 1 species
AGAGUUCGUAGGUGGUUGAAAAAGUUGGUGGUGAAAUCCCAGAGCUUAACUCUGGAACUGCCAUCAAAACUUUUCAGCUAGAGUAUGAUAGAGGAAAGCAGAAUUUCUAGUGUAGAGGUGAAAUUCGUAGAUAUUAGAAAGAAUACCAAUUGCGAAGGCAGCUUUCUGGAUCAUUACUGACACUGAGGAACGAAAGCAUGGGUAGCGAAGAGGAUUAGAUACCCUCGUAGUCCAUGCCCGUAAACGAUGUGUGUUAGACGUUGGAAAUUUAUUUUCAGUGUCGCAGCGAAAGCGAUAAACACACCGCCUGGGGAGUACGACCGCAAGGUUAAAACUCAAAUGAAUUGACGGGGACCCGCACAAGUAGUGGAGCAUGUGGUUUAAUUCGAAGAUACGCGCAGAACCUUACCAACACUUGACAUGUUCGUCGCGACUUUAAGAGAUUAAAGUUUUCGGUUCGGCCGGACGAAACACAGGUGCUGCAUGGCUGUCGUCAGCUCGCGUCGUGAGAUGUUGGGUUAAGUCCCGCAACGAGCGCAACCCUCACUUUUAGUUGCCAUCAUUAAGUUGGGCACUCUGAAAGAACUGCCAGUGAUAAGCUGGAGGAAGGUGGGGAUGACGUCAAGUCCUCAUGGCCCUUACGUGUUGGGCUACACACGUGCUACAAUGGUAUCUACAACAGGAAGCAAGACGGCGACGUUAAGCAAAUCCUUAAAAGAUACCUCAGUUCGGAUUGCACUCUGCAACUCGAGUGCAUGAAGCUGGAAUUACUAGUAAUCGUGGAUCAGCGUGCCACGGUGAAUGCGUUCCCGGGUCUUGUACACACCGCCCGUCACACCAUGGGAGUUGGUUCUACCUUAAGGCAAGGUUUAAAACCCUUGACCACGGUAUAGUCAGCGACUGGGGUGAAGUCGUAACAAGGUAGCCGUAGG